rfam:Daphnia pulex DAPPTscaffold_640_Cont10429, whole genome shotgun sequence.
GCCUCCAUAGCGCAGUAGGCGGCGCGCGUAUCUCAUAAUCACGAGGUCAUGAGUUCGAACCCCAAUCGGGGCA